UCCCAGCUGACGAGUCUCAAAUAGGACGAGACGCAUGUUCUGGAU
rnacentral:hammerhead_ribozyme from 1 species